UCGAGAAUUUCAGCUCGGUAAUAUUUUUUACUGGUUUUAUUCGGUAAAAAGAAAUCUGAACCGAGAACUCAGUUAAUUAAAAUCAAUUUACUGAUUUCUGCAAUAUUUUUUACCGAUGUCUCAGUAGUUCUAUGAAAAAUACUGAGUCUCGGUAGGUUGCAUUACCGACCAACUCUGUUCAAUGAAAAUAUGCUGCAAAUGUCAAGAAAUAAACCGAUCACUCAGUAAAAUCAAAUACGCAGUACUGAGCACCCGGUAAAAUAAGUACCGAACUCUCAGCUUCUGACCACGAUUUGCCUGAUGUGACUCCAUUUUUUUUUUGCGAAUCGAAAUCUGGUGACCAAUAUCCUUCACGAAGUUAAUUAGCACUGAAUCCGUCGAACCAGUGGAAAUUCCAUUAUAAUUAAAUAUUCAGGUAACCAAAAACCUCGCCAAAAACUGCAUCAUCAGCCGUUGACUCCGCUGCGGGUAGAUUCUGGAUCCGGAUCUAUAAUAAGACUACAGAUUAGCAGGACGGAAAUGAGGUCAAAUGCCGCUCACUUCCCUAGUCGCCUGUUUAGUGGCGCUACUGACAAAGGACAGAAG